UACGUAGGGAGCAAGCGUUGUCCGGAUUCACUGGGUGUAAAGGGUGCGCAGGCGGACUGGCAAGUCAGGGGGUGAAAUCUUACGGCUUAACCGUGAAACUGCCUUUGAUAACUGCUGGUCUUGAGUUAGGGAGAGGUUGAUGGAAUUCCAGGUGUAGCGGUGAAAUGCGUAGAUAUCUGGAAGAACACCAGUGGCGAAGGCGGUCAACUGGCCCUAUACUGACGCUCAGGCACGAAAGCGCGGGGAUCAAACAGGA
rnacentral:rRNA from 1 species